rnacentral:rRNA from 1 species
GAUGAACGCUAGCGGGAGGCUUAACACAUGCAAGUCGAGGGGCAUCACGAGGUAGCAAUACUUUGGUGGCGACCGGCGCACGGGUGAGUAACGCGUAUGUAACCUACCCUGUACAGGGGGAUAGCCCGGAGAAAUUCGGAUUAAUACCCCAUAAUGAUAUUUUAUGGCAUCAUAAAAUAUUUAAAGCUCAGGCGGUACGGGAUGGGCAUGCGUAACAUUAGCUAGUUGGUAGGGUAAUGGCCUACCAAGGCGACGAUGUUUAGGGGUCCUGGGAGGGUGAUCCCCCACACUGGUACUGAGACACGGACCAGACUCCUACGGGGGGAAGCAGUGAGGAAUAUUGGUCAAUUGGCGCGGGCCUGAACCAGCCAUCCCGCGUGAAGGAAGACUGCCCUAUGGGUUGUAAACUUCUUUUCCAGGGGAAUAAAAUCUCGAACGAGUUCGGGACUGAAGGUACCCUGGGAAUAAGCAUCGGCUAACUCCGUGCCAGCAGCCGCAGUAACAC